rnacentral:lncRNA from 1 species
CAUACACUUCUAGCUGGGUGUGGUCUCAAAGCCUGUACUAAGGAGGACAAGACCAGCCUAGGCUAUAGGAGACCAGGACUCAAAACAAUUAUUUUUCACUUUCAAAACCUUACCAAGUGUUUGGAUCGGUUGCUAGGCCCCAAAUCUCAUUAAGAGGUUUUUAAAGCACUUUUGAAAUUUAGAUUGAUAAAUUUUAUGUGUCUUUUUGCCUAUACAUAUUAUUUUUUCCUGAACGUAUGUGCAUUUGUGAGUGCCUGCUGUCCUUGGACAUAGGAGGAGGCCAGAUCCCCAGAGACUGGAAUUACAGAGAAUGAUGAACCACCAGGUGGGUGCUGGAAAUCAAACUCACGGCCUAUGUGUGAGAAACAAACGCUUUAAACCACUGAGCCAACUCACUUUAAGCCCAAAAUCUACUUUAAAACCAAAAGAACUUCUUGACAGCCUAAGCAGUUCGACAAGUCUACGCACAGAGGCAGUAGAAACAAGAGAAGAUCAAGACUGGACCGUGAAGCACCAGGAACUGACUAAGGUGCAUAAUUUACCCACCAAAGCAGAGCUGGCCUCCAGGUUCCCCAGCGCCCCCCUCAGUCCCUACCUGGCAUACCCUGCCCCCAACAGGGAACUUUCCAGCCCAGGUGCUUGUCCGCCCUCCCCCAAGAGUCUCCUCCCAAUAUAAUCCAGACAUUUAGUCUCUGCCCUUCUCUCUCUUCCUCUCCUUCUCUUCUUUCUCCUCCAAUGCUCCCUUUUGCUCCCCUACCCCCACCCCCAUGGCAAUCCCAUGGCCUCAAUCCCUGGGGUCAGUGAACCUGCCCGCCUGAGAGUAGCAUCCCAAU